rnacentral:rRNA from 1 species
UAGGGAAUAUUAGAAAUGGGAGAAAUCCUGAAGCAGCAACGCCGCGUGGAGGAUGAAGGGCUUUCAGCUUGUAAACUCCUGUAAAGAAGGAAAAAAUUCCCAUUAGAUGGGAAAUGAUGGUACUUCUAAAGUAAGCCCCGGCUAACUACGUGCCAGCAGCCGCGGUAAUACGUAGGGGGCAAGCGUUGUCCGGAUUUACUGGGUGUAAAGGGUGCUCAGGCGGAUUUGUAAGUCAGAGGUGAAAUCUCACAGCUUAACUGUGAAACUGCCUUUGAUACUGCAAGUCUAGAGUAUGGAAGAGAGUGAUGGAAUGUCUGGUGUAGCAGUGAAAUGCGUAGAUAUCAGAUAGAACACCAAUGGCGAAGGCAGUCACUUGGUCCAUUACUGACGCUAAAGCACGAAAGCGUGGGUAGCAAACA